AGGCCAAAUGACGUUAUUGUACUGUUAUUUAUGCUAUUAUUUUUGAAGGCACAUAAGGACUUUAACCAUUACAUGCAUUACUGAUUUUUUUGCCGUUUAUACUAAGUUCCUUUCGAUGGAAAUUAAAAUUAUGAAUUUGAGUUGCAGUAUAAAUAUGGCAGCAUCAAGAUUGCAACUUGAUCUACAACAAGGGAAUUAUUGCAUAUCUAGACAUCAAAUCGGACCCGACCAGACAUCAUAUCAGACAUUCUCUCUAAGACAAAGGACUUCCAAAGUGCCGACAACAAUAAUU